ensembl:snRNA U6 U6 spliceosomal RNA
AUGCUCGCUUUGGCAGCACAUAUACUAAAAUUGGAACGAUACAGAGAAGAUUAACAUGGCAUUCAUGAGGGGGAGGGGUAUAGAUUGUAUACACGCAGCCCGUUUAU